rnacentral:lncRNA from 1 species
CAGCACUUGUGCGAUCUCCAGCCACAAAAAGCCGUUAAUCUGGCCAAGAGCAGAGGCUUGCGGGUGAAGGGAGUGGAGGGGCUGCUGAAGAUGGAGAUGGUGCUUAGUUUUUUUUGUGGGUAGAAGAGUGCAGAGAGGCCCCUGCUCAUCCCAGGAGAAUGAAGUUUAAAAAACAAAAUGGCCAAGGCUCUCCCCAGGUGUCGAUGGGGUGGGAGGCAUGGCCCAACUCCUGAAGAUGUCAUGGCACAGUGGGCAGCCACCAUGGGGAAUCCGGCCGGGAUGACAGAGACAGCCCUGCAGCACGGCACUGCUCAUAGUGGGGCCAGGCCCUGGAGGAGUCUCCUGAAGCCACAAACAUACAUAGUCCGCACCCUCCCCUGCCCCAAACUCAGCGUGUAGCAGAUCAACCUCUGUACUAUCAGCCAAGCCAAUACAACAAGCACAGUGAUUGUGGACUACUCCCCAAGAACAAAACAUCGAAGAACAGCCAAGCUAGCACGCUGGCUCACGCCUGUAAUCCUAGCACUUUUCAAGGCCGAGGCAGGCGGAUCCCUUGAGCCCAGGAGUUCGAGACCAGCCUUGGCAACAUGAUGAAACCCUGUUUCUACAAAAGGCACAAAAAUUAGCUAGGCGUUGUGGGAGGAUCACUUGAGCCAAGGAGGUAGAGUUUGCAGUGAGCCUUGAUCGCACCCUGAACUCCAGCAUGGGUAACAGAGCAAGACCCUGUCUCUAAUAAAUAAAUAAAUGAAAAUAACAGCCAUUCAUCAGAACAGCCAUUCAUCAGAACAGCCAUUCAUCCCGGCUCUCAGCACCUCCAAUCUGCACCCUGUACUGGUCAGCCCAAGCUAUUCUAGAGAGUGCUACCCCACAAGUCUCCCUAAGCAGUCUGACCAUAAUUACAGCUAAAGAUAGGUGCCUCUGAUACUUCAUAUACUGUGCCAGGGGAAUCCCACAAUUUACUCACCUGGCACUGGCACCAACCCUCCCAGACGGGCACCAUAACUGCCCCCAUCCCACUGCUGAAA